UCGGUUUUGUACCAAUUUUUACUCAACGGAUAUAUAUUUUGAACUCGUUGAGAAAACAUAUUUUGGUGAACACCCGAUUUUAGUAGAGUGUCCACUGAUUUGAAUUGGGCACCCGAAUGUGCCUAGCUUCGUAAUGGGCCCUGGAUCUUGCAAUGGGCUUUGUGCCACAUUUUUCACUUGUCGGUGAAUAAUCCAGCCGGGCCUGAAUUUCUUGAAGUGGGCCUUGUAGAGCUUCCAAACUUGUAAACAAAUAAUUCGGUAGAGCCCAAAAACUUGCCGGUGCAUGGAUUGCUUUGAACACCCAUAAACUCACUUCUACAGCCCAAUUGAGCCCAGCUCACGGCUUCAAGGUUCUGAACCCAAAGACAAGACGUCAUCUCCAUUUGAUAAGCUUCAAAUCCUCUGGGAAACUUCUUUGGCGUAAUCAUCAGCUUAAGAUGGAGACCAAGUUCAAGAUGAGGAUUAGCUAUUUCAAUUCGAUCUGGAGAGGGAGUCAUAUCGCUGAAGUCCAUAUAAAUGGGUUGGCUCAAGUGCCUAGAUUCCCCAUUCGUUCUCUUUCGCGCACCAAAUCGGAGGCCUUGAUUUCUUACCCCUGUUCGCAAAGCGCAUCUACCACAGUUGUUGGUGUCGAACCCAGAACCGACAUCAUCUUGAAGGAACACAUUGCAGGCGGUAUUCGAACCAUUGCUUUGCAGAGGUAACAGGAAGCAAACGACUCCCAUCUCUCUUCCAUUUUGUGGCUGCAAUCUAGUGAUCCGAGGGCGAGCCAACUAGAACACGCUGCUGACUUGUGAUUGAAGGUGAACACCCUGCAGUCUUGUGGUUGAAGGCAGGCACUUUGACAGCGUGAUUUCGCCGCUGGGAUUUGAUGGACAAAGUUGCUGGAAGUAUUCCAAGAGACCAUCGAGGGUGGUGCAAGGCCAUUCGUUAUGUUGCGGUGGAAAAGAAGGCAGGAGGCUUUUAGUUGGGACUGUUGCUGACUUUCAGAACAAAUGACAUGACAUAUCACCGAUUGGUCAUACACUCCUGGAUACACAUGUAUCAUAUACGAGAUUGCGACCGUUCGGGGAUCUCCAUAGCUCCAUGGUGACACAGGUAAAAGAGAUGCUGCACAUGAAAAGAAAGUAACACAGGUGGAUCAGAGAGGCCCCAACCUUUGUGUUGUUUGCUUGUUGGCUCCUUGCUUCGAUCAAAAUUGUUGAGCACUUCCUCUCCCCUCUGCAGCAGGGCUUCAUCUCUUUCUUGAUGUAUUUCCUGUGUCCGCUUCUGCUCCCCUCUAGCCUUUUCUGCUCCUCUCCCUUUGCGUCUGCCCCCAGCCUCCUUUAUCUUUAUCACUUGUUAUCUUUAUAUUUGAAUCGGUCAAGCACUUAACCAACACUUGAAUAGUCAAAGCUAGCAGCAUGGGUGUGGAUGUACUUGUCAAAACUCAAAGAAAAAAAAAAUCUUUGAAUAUCCCUCCUGCUUGACGUUUGAAUUUGGUCAAAGCCAACCAAAAUUUUGAAUAGCAAUUAUCCUCAUUUGUUAGACAUUCAAAGCAACAGAGAUGCAUGCAUGAAAUUUUUUUUUUUGUCUCAACAGCCUUAUUUUUCUUUUUUUUACAGUUCAACCAUAUAUCCUUUCAAUUUGAUUUUUUUUUUUUUUUUAAGGAAGAACAAUUAUGUUUUGUAUUUAUAAAUUUCUACAAAUUAUGGAAAAAGUUUGUUGUUUGCUGUAUCCAUUUGUUGCUAAUCUAUUAUUAACAAAAAAAUAAAUUAUAUUCUAAAUAGCGCCGAUAUUUUUUAGAUUACGAGUAUUCAUCUAUUAUAUAUGAAACUUGAAAAAAAAAAACAAACCUGCAGCAUCAGCAUCGCGCGGACACGUUUUCUAGUAAAUACUAAAUACAAUAAGUCGUUAAUUUUUGGGUUUUUGUCCAUUUACCCCAUUUCUAGGGAUUUUUUUCCCACUAACCCCAUGAAGUUUUUUUAAUUCUCUCUUACCCAAUACACUCUAAGGGAGUCUUCCCUAAUACCCCAUUAAGAUUUUUUUUUUGUUUUUAAUUUUUUUUAAUACCAUUUUACCCCUCACCCUUUGUUACUUAGAGAGAGAGAGAGAGAGAGAGAAAAUGGAAGAGAGAGAAACCAUAGGAGACUUCGCCGGAGCCGGUCACCGGUCGCCGGAUUCCGGUCACGGUCGCCGGAUUCCGGUCACCGGUCGCCGGAAUUUGCUGAAAAUCUCACCGGAAAGUUUUUUGCCCUCCAUAGACAUCUAUUGCCCCGUAAUAGAUGGGUAAUAGAGGUCUAUUGCCCCCCAAUAGACGACUAUCAGCCAUGUAUUGCCCCCCAAUAGAAGCCUAUUGCCCCCCAAUAGGACUUUCAGUUGCCAGAAUGGGAACUAAUCUUCCUAAAUUUAGACAAAUAAAACUUUGAAUACAGAAAAAAAACAAGGAGAUUACAUCAAUUCAAAACGUCUAUUGCUCCCCAACAGGCGUCUAUUGCCCUCCAAUAGACGCUUUAACAUACGUCUAUUGCCCCAAUAGAACUUUUUGUUUUUACCUUUUUCUUUCCUCCCAGGCUUUCUGCCUCAAUUUUACCAAAAAAAAAAAAAAAAAUUGGGCACCCAGUGCUUUGGGCACCCAAACUCACAACACUACUGAAAUACUGUACUCUCUGCUGUCUCAGAUCUUCUCUUCUAUCUCUCUGCGCAAAUAUUGAAUUCUCCCAGUUCUUGCUUCAGUGCAUCCACCUAUAUAAUUAAUAAAGAGGACAAGAUGAAAUUCACUAGCUAGCCAGAGAGACGAGUGUAUAUAGAUAUCUGAUUAAUCUUACUCGGUCUUAGGCCUUCAUUUCGAAUCCAAGUCAAUAGCACAAAACAAAGAACUCACCUUGAAUCAGGCCAGCGCCGGCGCAAUUGGCUAUAGCCGACGGCAGUGUUCAUUCCAACAGGUUGUGGUCCAGCGUCGAAGCUCGCCGGAACCCAACCGGAAAAUUGAUUGUAUGAGCCGAAGGUGAGUCAGGUUGGCGAUGCUCCUCAGAAUCUUGCCUGAGAGAGAGGACUGGAAACAACUCACCAGCGGUGGAGUUGGGCCGGAGAAUGGAGCAGGACUCAGCAAAGGCCAAAUCGUCGUCGCGAAGGAGAGAGAGAGAGAGAGCGCGGAGGAGAGAGAGAAGGGAGACGACGCAAUCGCAGUAGUCGAACUGGUGGCCAGAGAGGUCGAGGGAGGGCGGUCGUCGUCGUCGUCGUCUUCAAGCGUGAAUGCCAUCGCUGCGCCGGAUAUGGAGAUCGGAGAUUGGAGAUCGGAGAGAGAGAGAGAGAGAGAGAGAGAGAGAGAGAGAGAGAGAAACUGGAUCUGGAGAGAGAGGAGAGAUAUAGCGAGUGGCACAUUGUAGUUUCUUAAUUAGAUUAAGGGCAAAAUUGUCAUUUCUUGUUAAAUUGUGUAUGUGGGAACAAAAAUCUGUUGCUGGGGUAAUUGAGAUCAGUUUUGCUCAUUUUGGGGCCUUAAUUUUUCCUCUUUAGACAAAGAUAGCAUAAACCAGAAAAAAUAAACUUGACUGGUACACAACUUCAACCUCAGAGUCCUAGUCUCACCUUCACAGCCUCUCUCUACAUGAAACGGCUCUUCUUCCUCAUUAAUCUCUUCUUCGUCAUCAUCAUACUCUUUUUGAUGCUUUGAGGAACUACUGCUCUGUUGGAAUCGAAAGAAGAGGAGAAGAAUUCCGUUUGGAUAAAUACUGGGUUUACGGUUUUUGUGGGUUUUGAAAGGCUGAACAUUGUCUUGUUGUUACUUGUGGGUAUUGUCUUGUUGGAUAAAAACCAGUCACAGGUUUUUGUGGGUAUUGUCUUGUUGAUUUUUAUGUGUUCUGGUUUUUAUUGGGUUUUUUUUGUUGUCGUUGGUUUUGAACUGAUAUGGGUUUUGUUUGUGCUGCAGUUUGGAAUGUGGUUAUCUGGGCGAUUGAUUGGAAGGGUUUCAAGGAAAUGCUUUAAGGAGAGUUACAUCUUACAACCUGGAAUAUGGGCUUUUGAAUGUCAAGCCUGAAGGUUGCUCAGGAGUCGUUGGCAGAAGACUCAUUGAGGCAGCCAAAAUGAGAGGUGGGAGUUACAGUGGGGGAAUAAAAUGUGACUUAAGUGUGGCAAUAGCCCUUACCCAAUGACAGAAUUGCCAUCACUUGAAGCUUUAUGACAUCGGAUUAUUAUCUCAACCAAGGCACCAAAAGUUGGCGAAGAUGGUGACAAGGAUUCGUCUGAAAAAUCAGAAAGGAGUGACAGUGAUAGAGAAACUGAGGGCAAAACUGCAGUUGACAUCAAGUACGUGGAACUUGCAACAAUCCACGCUGGAAAACCGUAAGGUUGUUUGGAAGAAGCUCUAGAGGUUGGUGAAAAAGUAAGACAGCUUAGUUUGAGUGAACAAAACUAGAAAAGGCUGCUGAAAAUCAUGGAACUGAUAUUGUUAGGUUCACACAGAGGAACAUCCUAAGGAUCUACCCCAAGGGAAAACGAGUUUCCUCCUCGAAUUACCAAUCGCAUGUUGGGUGGGUGCAUGGAGCUCAAAUAGUUGGGUUUAAUAUGCAGUCAGCUUUGGAGUUUCAUGAAAUCUUAUUGGAACCUAAUAACAUGUCAAUGGCAGAGAUUGAUAAGAAAUAUAACCCAAUCUCUGGAUAUAAAAUUUUAUGACAAGGACGUGGCAAAUCACGAUUGUUGAUGAAUGGGAUGUUUAGAGCCAAUGAGGAUGCAGUUACUUGAAAAAGCCUGCCUUUUUUAUGCACAUGGGCGCAAAUGAUGAGGUUUUUGAUCCUAAAAGGACCUUGAUAGUGGCGAAGACAUUGAAGGUGAAAGCAUACAUGGGGAAUAAAUGGCACCUGGAUUUUAGUCAAACACACUUAGAUUCGUUCUCCCCACAGACUUCUACACAAAAUUUUGUGGAAUUUCUGAAGAGGUGUAGAAGUUCUUUUUCAGAUUAAGUUAGCCUCGUACGAGGGAAAGGUCUACCCUCAGAAUAUGGUAAUGUGUUCAAACAAUUAUAGUUACGUUUUUGUUUGUUAUUGAGUAUAUGUUGUUGCAAGGGCCUUCACUUUUCCCAGGUUUCAUAUCUGAUCGGUCUGCGUUUUGUCACUAAGAUAUUUAUAUUGGUGAGUCUGAUUCUAUUUUAAGAAGCGCAACUAUAUUCCUUUAGCUUUCUCUUUGGAAAAGGGUUGCAGUAUUACUUUAUCUAUCUUCUUAUGUUGAUAAUUAGGGAAAUUGCCGUGUGAGGCACAUAGAUCUCAGAAAGCAGCUGUGUUUUUUGAACACAACUGGAACACACGCCUAGCAACAAAUUACUAAAUAGAAAAGUUAUACUAAAAAUGUGAUGGUCCUCAUCAGUGGUUCAGUGUAGGGAAAGUAUAUUGCAUAUUGUGAUGAAUAUAAGCAAUGGUACAUUGUCUAUUUAGUAUCUUGAUCGUGUCUCCUUUUGUUUGCUUCGUGGUUACUUUUUGUCUUUAAACCCUCAAAAUCAGUUAAGUUAGUGGGAAUACUCUUCCUGUAAAGUAGACCUGUAUAAGAUAGGAUAGUUUCAAUCAUAAUGCAUCAUGUCUUUAGUUCUGUGCAAGGGUUUGGUUUUUCAUAUUGACUUCAAAUGGGUUUAUAAAUCUUAUUUAGACAAAAAAGAGCAACAGCAGCCUGUUGCUCGAUGGAACUUUUGUUACUCGCAUCCAAUGAUAAUUAUGAGAAACCACAAUGAGCUUAUUCUAAGCAAAAGAGCUACUACAUAGAGAAACUCAGUCAAACAAUAAAAGUUAUUUCAGUGAGUGAUAGGACAAACCCAAAAUAUUCAUUUGAGUGCUAUAAUCACAAGGAGUAAUUUCAGGGAUGUGAUUUGUGGAAAGAUAGAGAUCAGAUUAAAAAGUUUGCAAAAUGCUCCUUGGAACUCUGCAAGUUGUAUAUGUAUAUGGAGAUUUCUUUGUCUACUAGCAGCCAUGAUGAACUUCCCUCAGCUGGAAGGCACCUAAGGAGCAUAAUUACAUAGGCAAGAUACUUGCCAUUUCAAAAUGUGGGGAGUUUCUCAGACAUGGAGGAACUUCAACAUCUUAAUGCCUGGCUUAAGAAGUGAAGUUAAAACUACUGUUAAAAAUGGUGCUGUAGAUGUGUACCGAAAAUGGAGCAUGGUCAACCAGACAUGAGCUAGAGUUCGAGUUCUUGGGGGGAGCUGCAUUUUUCGUCAUACAUGAUACAUAGCAUCUUCACUUUUUCCAAGAUUGAUAUGUCUGUCAUAUCAGAAGAAUAGAUAUUGGUGAUCAGUCUGCGUUUUGAUAUGUAUGACACACUUAUAUGGUGAAACUAAUGUUUGUAAAUUGAAUAAUGUUGAGUUGAAUAAUGUCGAUGACACACUUGCAGCAUCGCGUGGGCUAUCUUGCUAGUAAUAAUUAA